UGGCGCAAUCGGUAGCGCGUAUGACUCUUAAUCAUAAGGUUAGGGGUUCGAGCCCCC
rnacentral:tRNA from 1 species